rnacentral:rRNA from 1 species
UCCCUAUCCGUCGCGGGCGUAGGAAAUUUGAGAGGAGCUGUCCUUAGUACGAGAGGACCGGGAUGGACACACCGCUGGUGUACCAGUUGUUCCGCCAGGAGCAUCGCUGGGUAGCUAUGUGUGGAUGAGAUAAACGCUGAAAGCAUCUAAGUGUGAAACUCGCCUCAAGAUGAGAUUUCCCAUUGCCUUCGGGCAAGUAAGACCCCUGAGAGAUGAUCAGG